rnacentral:tRNA from 2 species
CGGAGCGUGGCGCAGCCUGGUUAGCGCACCACACUGGGGGUGUGGGGGUCGCAGGUUCAAAUCCUGCCGCUCCGACCA